rnacentral:RNase_P_RNA from 1 species
AAGUGCAACAGAAAUAUACCGCCGCAAGGUAAGGAUGAAAAGGUGGGGUAAGAGCCCACCCGGCCCAUGGUAACAUGGGUUUUACGCUGUAAACUCUAUCCCGGAGCAACGCCGUGGAGAAGCAACAGGUCUGCCCGACCGCUUCGAGGAGGCGGCUUGAUCCCGUGAGCAAUUGCGGGACUAGAUAGAUGGCUGUCAAGACAGAACCCGGCUUAUAGAUCUGCGUCGCAU